rnacentral:rRNA from 1 species
CUACGGGUCGCAGCAGUGGGGAAUAUUGGGCAAUGGGCGCAAGCCUGACCCAGCAACGCCGCGUGAGGGAAGAAGGUUUUCGGAUUGUAAACCUCUGUCCUUGGGGACGAAGAAGUGACGGUACCCAAGGAGGAAGCUCCGGCUAACUACGUGCCAGCAGCCGCGGUAAUACGUAGGGAGCAAGCGUUGUCCGGAAUUACUGGGCGUAAAGGGUGCGUAGGCGGCAUAUUAAGUCAGGUGUGAAAUACUCGGGCUCAACCCGGGGCUGCAUUUGAAACUGAUAUGCUUGAGCGUGAGAGAGGAAAGUGGAAUUCCUAGUGUAGCGGUGGAAUGCGUAGAUAUUAGGAGGAACACCAGUGGCGAAGGCGACUUUCUGGCUCAUAACUGACGCUGAGGCACGAAAGCGUGGGGAGCAAACAGGAUUAGAUACCCGUGUAGUC